rnacentral:rRNA from 1 species
CCUACGGGAGGCAGCAGUGAGGAAUAUUGGUCAAUGGACGAGAGUCUGAACCAGCCAAGUAGCGUGAAGGAUGACUGCCCUAUGGGUUGUAAACUUCUUUUAUAUGGGAAUAAAAUGUUCCACGUGUGGGAUUUUGUAUGUACCAUAUGAAUAAGGAUCGGCUAACUCCGUGCCAGCAGCCGCGGUAAUACGGAGGAUCCGAGCGUUAUCCGGAUUUAUUGGGUUUAAGGGGAGCGUAGGUGGAUUGUUAAGUCAGUUGUGAAAGUUUGCGGCUCAACCGUAAAAUUGCAGUUGAAACUGGCAGUCUUGAGUACAGUAGAGGUAGGCGGAAUUCGUGGUGUAGCGGUGAAAUGCUUAGAUAUCACGAAGAACUCCGAUUGCGAAGGCAGUUCACUGGACUGCAACUGACACUGGGGCUCGAAAGUGUGGGUAUCAAACAGGAUUAGAUACCCUAGUAGUC